GCGCCGCAAGCACCCGCAACGGCUGCGACCCAAUCGCUGGCUGCGGGAUACCUUGACAUAGGUUGGCGCCAGAACGAAACCCAGCAUUCAGUAGAUUAUCCCCGCGGCUGCCAAUCACCUAACCGGCCCCCGGACAUGAGCCUGGACGGACAGAU
rnacentral:snoRNA from 1 species